CAUUCACUUUACCACAGUGAAACGUACAAUCAGAUGAUAAGCACGCGAUUUAAAAUUAUAUCAAAAUUAAGGUUACGUCGAGUAACGUGGUACUAAUUAUUAUUAUGAUUUUAUCUCUUAGUUGCCCUAGCUUCACUACCUCCAGCUUGAAAAACGUUCUCAAAAAAAGUUGAGUUCAGCUGAUCAUAAGACUUGCGCAUAAGCCAGCUAGAUGAAUACCCAGAGUGGUAUCCAUCAACCCUAAUAUAAUUCAAGGUCAUUGGCAGGUAGAACAAUUUCCAAGUCAGUGGAUGGGCACUGGUAACGAAUUAUUGGAUUUCCCUGGCACGGACAGGCCUCUGUGAAAAUUGUAAAAGGCUGUGUUCAUUGGACACAUCGGAGGUGCACAAAUUCAACUAUUCUACAUUGGAAUUCCUAUUAAUCCACUUCUACAUUCACCCAAAAUCUCUUGAGCUAACCAGAAUGUACCUGGAUCAAGGAAGUCGAUAAUUUCCUGCCUAAGUUCACUCCAGGUCUGCCUGUAUGUCCUAUGACCAUCAUUAAGACAUCACUCUGUACAACUGACGUAUAUAUGCAAAGCGUCAAGCGGAACUACAUGAUGUAGCAGAACAUGGAGAAUUGUUUGGAAAAUCUCUUGGAAUCGCAAGCAUUAGAAUUCCAUUGCGUCUGGAAUUCGUGGUAACAAUCACGUAUAAUCGGCAGACGAAAUAUCCAACAUAUAAGUAACACGUGGUCUCGUUUCUCUUGUAAAUCCGGCUAUAGAUCAAACACACUUCGUAUAAUCUCCAGAGUAUGAAAUUCUCAGUCAGCUAAAGAGCAGGAGAAAUUUUAGAGACGUGUACCAGGCCUCGUUCCUCGUUCAUGCAUAUGCCGUAUGUGAUAGAAACGUCAGACUCACUCUGCUGAGAUGCUGCCACGACCUUCACAGCAAAGACAACGAGCACGACAAGAGCCAUCUUCAUGCUCACCGGCUGAUGCUUCGAAACUCAAAUAGUACUAUUUUCCACUGAGCACUAUAAUAUACACAUACAUUUUUACAUAAUUUAUAUUAAAAAGCAUAGGUGCCACAGCAAUAAUUCAUAUUCGUACUCAGACGGUAUCAAUCUCAGAAAUUUACAUUCCAAAAGUACCGUACUACCUAAUCUGCAAUUAAAUCUGUAAUCAGUAAUAAGGAAUUUCGGACUUUACCAACAACCUAAGCUGUAUUAGUAAAUUUCAUAAGCUCCUAACCGUAUCCCUAUGUAUAUGUAUAGUACAGUGUGAACUAUUGUAAAUGCAGAGUAUGCGUGACGUACUUAUGGGACUAAUAAUUCCCAACUUCGAUACAGCUUAUCGUUUUUAAAAAUACAAUGAGUACACUGUU